rnacentral:SRP_RNA from 12 species
CCAGGAAGCACUAUGUAUCCUAGCCAGCCCGGUGUCAUGCAUUGGCUUGAGAAAUCCAUUUACCAUGUCGUCUGGGAGGGCGAGGCCACCGCAUUGAGUGGAGAUAUCCAUCACAGCGAGCUU